rnacentral:rRNA from 1 species
GACGAACGCUGGCGGCGUGCUUAACACAUGCAAGUCGAACGGUAAGGCCCUUCGGGGGUACACGAGUGGCGAAAGGGUGAGUAACACGUGGGCGAUCUGCCCUGCACUUCGGGAUAAGCCUGGGAAACUGGGUCUAAUACCGGAUAGGACUCCUGGCCUCAUGGGUGGGGGUGGAAAGCUUUUGCGGUGUGGGAUGGGCCCGCGGCCUAUCAGCUUGUUGGUGGGGUAAUGGCCGACCAAGGCGACGACGGGUGGCCGGCCUGAGAGGGUGACGGGUCACACUGGGACUGAGAUACGGCCCAGACUCCUACGGGAGGCAGCAGUGGGGAAUAUUGCACAAUGGGCGCAAGCCUGAUGCAGCGACGCCGCGUGAGGGAUGACGGCCUUCGGGUUGUAAACCUCUUUCAGCUAUGACGAAGCGCAAGUGACGGUAGUAGCAGAAGAAGGACCGGCCAACUACGUGCCAGCAGCCGCCGUAA